AUGGAAUGCUCUGUAUUAUCUGCUCAAUGUUUUUGUAAAUCUAAAGCUGUACUAAAAAAAAAAAAAAGGCUAUUAACUAUUUUUGGAAAAGCAGAAAUAAAAGUAAACCCCAGUCUUAGCGGACGGGCCCCCGGAGAGCAGGCGGCAGGCCCCGUCGGUUCUCGAGCCCGCGCCGCGGAAAGGAAGCGGGCCUCCAGCGCACAGUGCGCAUGGCCCCGUUUCCCUCAGACUCCGGGAAGACACACCGGUCCCCUCGUGAGGCGACGUGGAUUGGGGGUGUCUGGGGCGGCGGUAAACCCCAGUUCCUAGGACGAUUGGAUCAAUGGAAUAGGAUGAACACAUGAGCAAAUGAAUGAACGAAUGAUGGAGCCUGCGCCCCGGAUGACAGUGCAGACAGGCCCAGCUCGCGGCCGCUGAGGAUAAGCGGUCUGUGCCUCUGAGCGAGAGGAGACGCUGCGGGCGCCGGGGGGGGGGGGGGGGGGGUUCUGCAAGGCAGCACGAGUCCCCUCUUCCCGGCACUGGGGCUCCUCCACCCUUCAGCCUCCAGGCCAGGCUCUGCCCGUCCAGCGGCCACUGGCAGGCCUGUCGGCUCUCAGACUCCUCAGGGGUGGGGACCCACUAGGUGGCCUUGCCGGUCUGCCUGCCAGCCAUCGCCGUCCCGCGGUGCUCGGCUCGGUUCGUUCCAGGGGAUCCCGAGCCAGCAGCCAGGGCCAACCUUGAACUCAGCCGAGAGGAACGCCGGACUCCUCUCCAGCUGGAAGGCGUUGCCGGCGGGUUGACGAGCCCGCUCUGAGUAAACGCUCAGCGCUUUUGUUCAGGGGAAGGGAAAGUCAGCCCCUGCCCGGUUGGAUCGGUGUCUCCUCCGCAGACGGCAGCCCAAGGCCUCUACAGCUUCCGCGGGUCAGUCGACAAGAAAAGAUGCCACGGCUGCGAGAAUGUAGCCAGGGACAGGCGUCCUCCGCCCAGAGUCCUGUAGCUGGUGUUACUUAAUGUUCCCCAGGGCAAGAGGGUCGUCCUGCUUCCUGUGCAACAUCGCUGAUUUAUCCCCGGCUGCGUGCCAGGUGCAUGUGGACGUCCCAUAGUGCACUAACUCUGACCCACUACCUUACAAAGCACAUGGCACUAUUGUCUCCAACUGGUAGUUGGCAAACCUGGGGCUCAGGGGGUUGGAGCAAUUUUCCCGAGGUCACACAGCUGUCCAGGUGGAGUUGGGAUACAAGCCCAGGUGUGAUGGACUCAAAGCCUCUUGUCCCAAAUCCUGUAUCACGGGGUCUAUAGAAGCCGGAGUGUAUUGAAUCCAUUAGGAAUACACCUGGCUGCAAGUAAUAGAAACCUGGGCUAAGAGUGGCUUAAAUCAUAAGGCCAUCCACUGUUUGUUUAGGAGGACCUCAGGAAGUAGGCAACGCCCAGGUGGGUUCAAUAGUUCCUCAAUAUGGUCAUCUAGGGUUGACAUCUUUGCAGUUCCCUUGACCUUCUCCUCAUGGUGGCAAGAUGACUGCCACAGCUCCAGACAUCACUUCCUCACCCAAUAACAUCCAAAGGCAGAAAGGAAGGGGAGAGGGGGCAAAAGGGAACAAGUCGCUCUUCCUGUGUCUUUCUUGUUUUAUAGUGAGACCUCUCUUCCCCAGGUGCCAUCAGUGGACUUCCCCUUACGUCUCACCAGCCAGAAAUGGGUCGCAAGCCCUUCCCUAGGCACUCCCAGGCCCAGAGGGGCAGAAUUUGGUUCCUGCCACAUGGUAGACUGGGGACUUGAAAUGAAAAACAGUUCACUCAAGGAUAAAAAUAAAGGAUGUUACAUUUUUAAAAUUUGUGGGAAA
rnacentral:lncRNA from 1 species